rnacentral:lncRNA from 1 species
UUGGAGUAUUUGUAUUCAGUGACCCUUGAUAGUUUUUCUUUCAUUAAUUUAUUUAGUACACUUUGAACUUAUGUAGACUUUGUACCAACCUGCAGAAAACAGUUAUGCAGAUUACAUACUCAAAAAAAAAAAAAAAAGAAAAAAGAAAAAAAAGGAAAUUCUUUGUAUGGGGAGAAAGAGUAAGCUAUGUCUCCCUGCUUACUGCUCUGCACCAGGGCUUUACAGAGCACUGUGGCAUGUGUCCUUACAGCCAACUGGACUGCAACUGUGCAACUUGGCAUGUGCUGCAAAGUUUCAGCCUGAAUCUGUGGGGCAAAGGACUCGAGUAUAUGGAUGUAGGAACUGAUGAGGAGGUAUUUGGAAGGCAUGUACCCGUUUUCCAAUCAGAUUGUUCUUUGAACAGCGGCAACUGGAUCAAGCACCAUGACUGAUGACAGCUUCAAAAUCUUUUCUCUCCCUUACUCAUGUUUUGAACAUUGGUCACCAUUGGCAAGGGUAUGCCAAUUAUUUCCUCUCUGGGAUGAGGAUCAGGGUAGGAGAUUGCUUACUUACUAACAAAAAAGAAUCCCAAAAAUUCAAUCUCGGUUAGCAUCUUACUGGGGGCAGGUCUGUGGCACCUCGCUGUAACUACAUCUGUGAACAGAAUUGUUUCUGGUUCUGCAGCUUCAUGCCCAGAAUGGCUCUCAGUGGUUUCAAUGUGGAGAAAAAUGUCUCCCAUGUCUUAACAGCUGUGAGUAAGGAGUUAGUUGUUAGCAAGCAAUUAGCAUUGCAGUGUUUAAAAUUUUAAAGCAACAAAAAGUUAGAACAAUUUCACUGCUUUCUCCAAAGGCAUAUAUCCCUGUCUGCUCUCACAUGCCUUUACCUCCAGCAUAUAACUUUUCGUAUUUCCAUACACCUUUUUUAUGUGUUCACAAUGAUGAUGGUGGUAGGAUAGGAUGCAGGAAUUUAAUGCAGGUAAAGGGGGUUAUUAACCAUAAAGAAGAAUGCUAUUAAGAUACUACUGCAUAAUACCUGAGAGUUGUGAUAAAUUGUGCAUAUUUGGUCUCCUUUUUCUCUCAGUUGUUUUCUAGUACAGAGCAGUAACAAUCAGACUUAUUUUGGAUGGUGCCAUGUGGGAGGAUGUAGGUGGAAACUGGAUAAACCAAAACACUGUCAUUUUUUAUUUUUAUUUUUAUUUUUAUUUUUAUUUUUUUCCUCCAUAGGGGAGCAUUUCAUCAUUUCACUGGUGUGAUGUGGAAAGGAAGUCUAUUUCCAAGGAAUCUAAGAGUUGAUCCUUACCCUAGGCUUACUACAGUCACUGGGUUUCUGAUCCCCACUGUCAUAACCCUUCUCAGCUGAGAUAACUAGUGAGUUGAUUGUGACUUUGUCCUUACCCAUUGACAAUCCAUAUUGUAUGAAUUUGUUUAAUCGGGUGUAAUCUGUAUUUCUAUAAUCCAUACAAAGACCACUUAGGGUUAAAAUGGUAUGCAUAAACAGGAAUGGAUGAUUGCCCUUAAAUUGUGUAGACAACUUUUUAUCAAUAUGAGUGAAGAAAAUCUCUAGGUAAUGUUAACUGUUGAAUAGAAAACAAAAAUCUAAAUAUCUGUCUGUGGGUACAAGCAUGUACUGCACUUUGGCUACCUGGCCUAUAUUUAAGUCUGAUCCCAUGGGAAUAUUUCCACUGUGUUUAAUUGAACAUUUGGCUAAUUAGAAGGUAUAUAUGCAUUGCAAAGUAGAUUAAGACCAGAAUGAUCUCUUUCCUGCAAAGAAUAGAUCUUUGCUAUAAAUAAAAAUUAUAAUUUGUACUGUAUUUUCUACUGU